rnacentral:rRNA from 1 species
UACGGAGGAUCCGAGCGUUAUCCGGAUUUAUUGGGUUUAAAGGGAGCGUAGGCAGGUUGUUAAGUCAGUUGUGAAAGUUUGCGGCUCAACCGUAAAAUUGCAGUUGAUACUGGCGACCUUGAGUGCAACAGAGGUAGGCGGAAUUCGUGGUGUAGCGGUGAAAUGCUUAGAUAUCACGAAGAACUCCGAUUGCGAAGGCAGCUUACUGGAUUGUAACUGACGCUGAUGCUCGAAAGUGUGGGUAUCAAACAGG